GACAGAGGGUGCAAACGUUGUUCGGAAUUACUGGGCGUAAAGCGCGUGUAGGCGGCCCUGCAAGUCGGAUGUGAAAUCCCACGGCUCAACCAUGGAAGUGCAUUCGAAACUGCAGAGCUAGAGUCCUGGAGAGGAAGGUGGAAUGCUUGGUGUAGAGGUGAAAUUCGUAGAUAUCAAGCGGAACACCGGUGGCGAAGGCGGCCUUCUGGACAGUGACUGACGCUGAGACGCGAAAGCGUGGGGAGCAAAC
rnacentral:rRNA from 1 species